rnacentral:rRNA from 1 species
AUUGAACGCUGGCGGCAUGCUUUACACAUGCAAGUCGAACGGUAACAGGGAGCUUGCUCCGCUGACGAGUGGCGAACGGGUGAGUAAUGCGUCGGAACGUGCCGAGUAGUGGGGGAUAACGCAUCGAAAGGUGUGCCAAUACCGCAUACGUACUGAGGUAGAAAGUGGGGGACCUUCGGGCCUCACGCUAUUCGAGCGGCCGACGUCUGAUUAGCUAGUUGGUGAGGUAAAGGCUCACCAAGGCGACGAUCAGUAGCGGGUCUGAGAGGAUGAUCCGCCACACUGGGACUGAGACACGGCCCAGACUCCUACGGGAGGCAGCAGUGGGGAAUUUUGGACAAUGGGCGCAAGCCUGAUCCAGCCAUGCCGCGUGUCUGAAGAAGGCCUUCGGGUUGUAAAGGACUUUUGUCCGGGAGCAAAUGCUGGUGGCUAACAUCCACCGGAGCUGAGAGUACCGGAAGAAUAAGCACCGGCUAACUACGUGCCAGCAGCCGCCGUAAUAC